rnacentral:rRNA from 1 species
GGAGUUUUCGGCAAUGGGCGAAAGCCUGACCGAGCAACGCCGCGUGAGUGAUGAAGGUCUUCGGAUUGUAAAGCUCUGUUACGAGGGACGAAUACAUUUGUCAGGAAAUGGGCAGAUGGGAGACGGUACCUCGCCAGAAAGUGACGGCUAACUACGUGCCAGCAGCCGCGGUAAUACGUAGGUCACGAGCGUUAUCCGGAAUUAUUGGGCGUAAAGAGUGAGCAGGCGGCAUAGCAAGUCUGAGGUGAAAGCGUGGGGCUCAACCCCAUACAGCCUUGGAAACUACUAAGCUAGAGUGCGUGAGAGGUAAACGGAACUCCAUGUGUAGCGGUGAAAUGCGUAGAUAUAUGGAAGAACACCAGUGGCGAAGGCGGUUUACCAGCACUGCACUGACGCUCAGUCACGAAAGCGUGGGGAGCAAAUA